UUUGGUGAUUAUUGCGGCAGGGCUCACCUCUUCCCAUCCCGAACAGAGAAGUUAAGCCUGUCUGCGCAGAUGGUACUGGGGUAAUUCCCGGGAGAGUAUGUCGUCGCCAAUU
rnacentral:rRNA from 1 species